AAGACUAUACUUUCAGGGAUCAUUUCUAUAGUUUGUAACUAGAGAAGUGUAGCCGAAAGUGUCUGACCUUACUACUUUGGCUAUUUCUAUGCAGAUUGAUAGU
rnacentral:snoRNA from 1 species